rnacentral:rRNA from 1 species
GGCUGAAAUUCGCCUACAUGAAGCUGGAAUUGCUAGUAAUGGCAGGUCAGCAUACUGCCGUGAAUACGUUCCCGGGCCUUGUACACACCGCCCGUCACACCAUGAGAGUUGGGGAUACCCGAAGCCUGUGAGCCAACUGUAAAGAGGCAGCAGUCGAAGGUAGAAUCAAUGAUUGGGGUGAAGUCGUAACAAGGUAAC